rnacentral:rRNA from 1 species
UACAGAGGUCCCAAGCGUUGUUCGGAUUCACUGGGCGUAAAGGGUGCGUAGGUGGUCAGAUAAGUCUGAUGUGAAAGCUCUGGGCUCAACCCAGAAAUGGCAUUGGAUACUAUUUGGCUUGAGGAAUGGAGGGGGGACUGGACUACUUGGUGUAGCAGUGAAAUGCGUAGAUAUCAAGUGGAACACCAGUGGCGAAGGCGAGUCCCUGGACAUUUCCUGACACUGAGGCACGAAAGCUAGGGGAGCAAACAGG